GACGAACGCUGGCGGCGUGCUUAACACAUGCAAGUCGAACGGAAAGGCCCUGCUUGCAGGGUACUCGAGUGGCGAACGGGUGAGUAACACGUGGGUGAUCUGCCCUGCACUUCGGGAUAAGCCUGGGAAACUGGGUCUAAUACCGGAUAGGAGCCAUUCUUAGUGUGAUGGUUGGAAAGUUUUUUCGGUGUAGGAUGAGCUCGCGGCCUAUCAGCUUGUUGGUGGGGUAAUGGCCUACCAAGGCGGCGACGGGUAGCCGGCCUGGGAGGGUGGACGGCCACAGUGGGACUGAGAUACGGCCCAGACUCCUACGGGAGGCAGCAGGGGGGAAUAUUGCACAAUGGGCGCAAGCCUGAUGCAGCGACGCCGCGUGGGGGAUGACGGCCUUCGGGUUGGAAACUCCUAUCGCUAGGGACGAAGCUUUUUGUGACGGUACCUAGAUAAGAAGCACCGGCUAACUACGUG
rnacentral:rRNA from 1 species